GACGAACGCUGGCGGCAUGCCUAAUACAUGCAAGUCGAGCGAACAGAUGAAGUGCUUGCGCUUCUGACGUUAGCGGCGAACGGGUGAGUAGCACGUAAGGAAUCUACCUAUAAGCGGGGGAUAACAUUCGGAAACGGGUGCUAAUACCGCAUAAUAUCUUCUUCCGCAUGGAAGAAGAUUGAAAGACGGCUCUGCUGUCACUUAUAGAUGACCUUGCGGUGCAUUAGUUAGUUGGUGGGGUAAUGGCCUACCAAGACGAUGAUGCAUAGCCGACCUGAGAGGGUGAUCGGCCACAUUGGGACUGAGGCACGGCCCAAACUCCUACGGGAGGCAGCAGUAGGGAAUCUUCCGCAAUGGGCGAAAGCCUGACGGAGCAAUGCCGCGUGAGUGAAGAAGGCCUUCGGGUCGUAAAACUCUGUUAUAAGAGAAGAACAAAUUGUAGAGUAACUGCUACAGUCUUGACGGUAUCUUAUCAGAAAGCCACGGCUAACUACGUGCCAGCCGCCGCCGUAA
rnacentral:rRNA from 1 species